rnacentral:ncRNA from 2 species
AAGUAAGGUAGAGGCGCACCGCCUAUCAGUCCUCCGGAGUAGGGUGAUUCCCGUUUAUCCCGGACAAAAGGAGUCGGUGCCGAAGUGCGAAGGGCGUCAUCCCGUCGUGCUGGGGUCGUAUCGAAUAGGUCCGACACUGCCAUAGUAAUCUCUGUCAGGACGACAGCAGUGGGUUUACUAUGGAGCGCUACUGAAAGG